rnacentral:lncRNA from 1 species
GAAGAAUUUUGAUAAGCAAUUUCAAACCCCAAGGCAAAUGGGACAAGCUAUUUCAUUGGAACUAUUUUUGAAUUUUUAUUGCGAGAGACUAGCAAUAUCUUGGUUGGGGAGUGUGAUUAGUGUCUAAAAGUGAUUCAAAGAUAUAUCAUUUAGAAGGCAUUUUACAUUCACUUUGUUUAAAAAUGCUAAUGUUAGUCUCUAAUUCCAAUUCUCAUGCCGUAAAUUCAAUUUCCAUAAAUACAAGGUUAAAAAUGCAAUUAAUUGAAAUACGUAUUUACAUACAUGGUGGCAUGAGUAUUAUACAUUUGAAAGAGUAUCUAUUUGAUGUAUUUCACUUGUAUUUCCAAAUUAGAACAAGUGGAGCAAGUGGAGGAAAAUAAUGUUGAAAAGUCAAAAAUAGUGACUGCCUCAAGCAAGAAGCAGCUGUUGGUAAAAUAAUCGUAACUUGAGUUUCAGACAUUGGAUCGAGGUGAUUCAAGUUGGGUUGGAAAGAAAAGGCACGUUUCUACAACUUUCAUGUUUUGGAAGAAGUCAAAUUCGUAUCGCAAAGCAGCCAAAAUUACCGUGCAAAGUCCAGCUUGUUACCUGCCGGAUACAGCUUUACCUGUGAAGCAGCGCUUAUUGUUUUUGUCAUAUCUGGAGUUAUAUAGAUCCAAUGAACCUGAUAUUUAAACCAAUGGAAAGAUAACUCAGGUGGAAAUAAUUUAUCUGUUGAUCGAAAGUCCAAAUUCGCUGCACAAUAUAUCUGAAAAUUGGCAUCAAGUUGCAUGUUCCAGCUGUCUUGAAGCUGGACAGAAACAAGUUGUAUUGCCUACUUGAAUUAUGGAUGUUCCUUUUCCUAUAAAAGGGGACCUUGGCCACGAUUUUGAAGAAUCAAUUCUCUCCAUCAUAUUCUAGUUUCCUUCAUUUUCUUUGUAACAUUUCACUAUGUAUUUCUAAACAUUUAGCUAGAGCUAGGGGUGAAACUUUGAUGAAUGUUUAGUAUUGUCUUUGAUCUUUCAUUUUAUUCUCCAAUGUUCAUCUUCUUACUUGGUUGAAGUAUAUGUUCUACAAAUGGUUUUGGUUUGUUAAAG